UAUUUAAUAAAUAUGUAUAAAUAUAUAAAUAGGGUACGGGUACAAGAAAGUAUUAUAUUACCAUCUCCCUUCGUGUACCUAAUAAAAGUUUAAAAUUAUAUUCAUCUUCUUCCCUCUAAUGUAAUAUCCAUCCUCAUUUGGAUAAAAAAUCAUAUUAUUCAUUAAAUAUGGAUAAAAUUAACAUUCCUAAUCAAUAUUAUCAAACACUAGCUCAUAAUUUUAAUUUCUUUUUACAAAGAAGUCAAAAACUUAAACGUGUGUUUGAAUUUUGGAUGGAUUGAAAAUCUAAAAAGCCAAUAUACUUGUUGGGUAAAAAAUAAAAAUUUCAAAAUUUAUGAGAAAAUUUCAAUUUCCCCCUUAAAUUUAAGCCAAAGAUGUGAUAUUUCAAAAUUAUUCCAAACCCCUUUUCACUUUAUCUCACAUGACCCACAUAGAAUACAAAACUUAAAAAAUAAGAUAUUAUAUUAUCUAACUUUAAUAUAUAUUUUACUUUUUCAUAUUAUUAAUAAUAUUUAUAUAUUUUUACGAAUCUAAUUAUACUCAUAUUACUUAUUCAUUAAAAAAUAUUUUUCAACUUAGGGGCCGGGCAGGUAAUUUGGUCCGUGCCUAUUGCAUAAAAUUUGUCACUAAAAUGUCAUAAAAAAAUUGUUACUACAAAGUAAUCAAAUUUGGGUAUAUAUAUAGAAAUGAAAAAAAAAGAAAAGAAAUCCUUAUCCACGCGUGCUUAGAAAAGAAUGCACCGUUGAAAUUAUUCCAUGGACCCUAACCCUAAAGGCUAAUUUUAUCCUUUGAUCAUAUAGGGAUGAUCAACAAUAUUCCAAAAGUGUAAUAAAAAAUUAUAGAGAAGCAUGCAUUAAUGCAGCUUGCAGGAUAUGAAUGCAGAGCAAGCUAGCUAGCUGUAAAGCUUUAAAAAUUCAACAUCAUCUUUCAAUUGAUAGCAGCAUGAAAAAGACAUGGGGGACUACGCAACAAAGGCCAACCCGGUCCUUUUCUUUGCUUUCAUGGUGAUAUAUACUGAUGGGUGAUAGCAGAGAUAAUGUUUGAAGGUGAUCUCCAGCUAAUUUCAAUGUCACUGCCUCUCAAUCCCCCAUUCCCCCAAAUCCCAACCCCUUUCCUUCUUCUUUUUUUUUUUAUCAAAAUUUUGGCCUUUUUUUUUGACAUUUUGGAGAAUUUUGCCGUUGCAUGGAACUUGAAUAAAUUGUCUGAUUGUUUUUAAAGCUCAAGAGCUGCCUUUUUUUGGGUUUUCCAAAGAGGAAAAAAUUUAUGUGUAUGAAUAUUGGGUUUAAUUAACUAUAGAACAAAUGAGUAUGGCCAAACUACACUUUUGGGUUUUUUUAUACUAAGCAUAAGAGUCUCUUACUCAUCUUUUGGAUCAUUUCUUUUUUUGAAAAAUGGAAAUUCGAAUCUAACUUUUUUUUAAAUAAAGAAUCAUGUACUUGGUAUUUGAUCAAAGCUCAAGUGCUUUGAAACAAUUGAAAU
rnacentral:lncRNA from 1 species